AGCGAACGCUGGCGGCAGGCUUAACACAUGCAAGUCGAGCGCCCCGCAAGGGGAGCGGCAGACGGGUGAGUAACGCGUGGGAAUCUACCCAACCCUACGGAAUAACGCAUGGAAACGUGUGCUAAUACCGUAUACGCCCUACGGGGGAAAGAUUUAUCGGGGAUGGAUGAGCCCGCGUUGGAUUAGCUAGUUGGUGGGGUAAAGGCCUACCAAGGCGACGAUCCAUAGCUGGUCUGAGAGGAUGAUCAGCCACAUUGGGACUGAGACACGGCCCAAACUCCUACGGGAGGCAGCAGUGGGGAAUAUUGGACAAUGGGCGCAAGCCUGAUCCAGCCAUGCCGCGUGAGUGAUGAAGGCCCUAGGGUUGUAAAGCUCUUUCACCGAUGAAGAUAAUGACGGUAGUCGGAGAAGAAGCCCCGGCUAACUUCGUGCCAGCAGCCGCCGCCGUAA
rnacentral:rRNA from 1 species